rnacentral:rRNA from 1 species
AGCGAACGUUAGCGGCGCGCCUAACACAUGCAAGUCGCACGAGAAAGGGAGCAAUCCCCGGUACAGUGGCGCACGGGUGAGUAACACGUAGAUGACCUUUCCUGGAGUGGUGGAUAACCUGCCGAAAGGCGGGCUAAUACAGCAUGGGACCACAUUGGUUUUGACCGAGUGGUGUAAGCGGGCCUCUGUUCACAAGCUCGCGCUCUGGGAUGGGUCUGCGUCCCAUCAGCUAGUUGGUGAGGUAAUGGCUCACCAAGGCAUCGACGGGUAGCUGGUCUGAGAGGAUGACCAGCCACACUGGAACUGAGACACGGUCCAGACUCCUACGGGAGGCAGCAGUGGGGAAUCUUGCGCAAUGGGCGAAAGCCUGACGCAGCGACGCCGCGUGGGUGAUGAAGGCC